UACGUAGGGGGCAAGCGUUGUCCGGAAUUACUGGGCGUAAAGGGCGUGUAGGCGGCCUUUUAAGUCAGACGUGAAAACCCUGGGCUUAACCCAGGACCUGCGUUUGAUACUGGAGGGCUUGAGGACCGGAGAGGAUAGUGGAAUUCCCAGUGUAGCGGUGAAAUGCGUAGAUAUUGGGAGGAACACCAGUGGCGAAGGCGACUGUCUGGACGGCACCUGACGCUGAGGCGCGAAAGCCAGGGGAGCAAACGGG
rnacentral:rRNA from 1 species